AUUAUUUCUACACAUUUUAACACUAUGUAUGUAUAUUAUAUUUAUUGCAUAGUUUCAAUAUCCAAUAUUUGUUCAUUUGAUGGAUACAUUUAAUUUUUCAUUAUUUUGUUGUAGAUGACUUGCCAGAAAACUAUGAUGAAGUCGUCAUCAUACGACGGUUCUCCAAUGAUAAAGCAGAGGGUGUUCAGGAGGAGUAUGAUGAUGUGAAGAAUGUCAAAGAAUAUAUGAGUGACAUGUUUGACUAUGAUGAUGUGGAGGAGGAUCCAGGAAAACAGACAGGAGCUGUUUAACUCAAACCUCACACACUGCAUCAAAUCCUUUCAAAGCUUUUAAAGUUUUAGCAGUCUUACUGUAUACAUUUCAGUUACAGUCUAACAGUGUUUUGUUACAUUCUGUACUGAAAUAUACAACUGCAAUUUUUGUUUUUUUUUUGUCUAGAAAAAAAAAUGCUUUGCUUUCAUGACCUUUUCGAAAGGUGCUUGACUUUUUCCAGACGCUUUUACAGAUCUUUUUUAUUGUGUAGCCUUAAAAAUUUGAGAGACAUUUUCAUUUUCUGACAUUUAGUUACUUUGUAUAAACAUAAUUGUGUUGAGUUCAGAUUGUUCACUAUUCAACUACCACCCAUCAUUAAUGGGUUACAGUAUCUUCAACUUAAUAAUAUCAUAAUAUUAAAUAUCAAAAUAUCAUUCACUGAUGGUUCUGUUAAUAUUUUGUUAAAGGACACUAGAAUGUUACGGUGGCUGAGAGCUCAGUGCGAAACACACGCAAAUAGAAAAAGCACCAGCAAAUAAAGAAAACAUCUUCAUCAGUCUGAGAGCUACACAUACUCCAACACAACCAAAUACAAAACAUGCUGCAAAUCCUCGCAACACAAACAAAUAAAGAAACACACAAGUACAGACCUUAACAAAAUUACCCAAACAAAGCUAAAAUUAACGUUUUUUUUUUUUGGCAUUUUGAUUACCAUUUGUUACCACAGUUGAACAAAUAACAUAGUUAAUCUAUAGUAUGUAUUAAAUCCAUAGUUAAUUGUAAAGAGUAGUCCACUGAAGGCGAGCGUAGAUGAACCCAAGUGCAGUUUAUUUACAAUGGUGCAUAAUCCAAACAAUAAACAAAGACUUGACGUGGCAUUAACAGAUUUGACACACCAACAGCAGGUUACAUACGUUAAUACACAACAGAGGACAAUGCCAAAAACAUGGCUACUUAUAACAGACAAUACAGGUCACAUUACAUAUCCCCCCCUCUAAGGGUGGCUCCUGAAGCCCAAAUAAACAAACCCCAAGAAAUACCAGGAGGGUGGUGGAGUGGAGGCGAAACAGGGGGAGGGAUGGAGCGCCAGGCCCGAGAAAACGAACAUGUAGGAAGCCAUGGUGAAGCAAAAUCAUGGACAGACCACUUGGUAGUGACAGGACAGACAGUGAGUUCUUGAGUGGCCUCCGUGGCCAUGACAGGACAGGCAGUGAGUUCAUCAGCAGCCUUCGAGGCUGUGACAGGACAAGAAGUGAGUUCAUGAAUGGCCUUCUUGGCCAUAAUGGGACGGACAAUAAGUUCAUGAACUGCUUCCAUGGCCAUGACAGGACAGGCAGAGAGCACAAAGGUGGGUGCCACCACUUCUGGAGGUUCUGCAGUGGAUGCAGCUGCCUCUGGGGCCACUGGAGUGAGUUCAUGGUCAGGAGAGGCCUCAGGAGCAGACUUGUGGACAGGAGAGAUCACUGGAGGGCAGUGUGCAGCCCACAAGCUCAAAAUGGCGACUGCCAUUACUAGAAGUACUGAGGCCACGGGAACAGUCUCAGUGACUACCAAGACUUGACGAGACUCUGGCAUGGCAGCCAUCUCGGCCGUGUCGUGAUGAGACCCUGGAUGAUCAGCUGAGAUUAGACGAGGCUCUGGUAGUUCAGCUGAGACAUAAGGAGACUCUAGAAGGGCGGCCAUUUUGAAGUUCAUGAAGUUCUUCAAUGGCAGGCAUGUUGUGGAGAAUCUCUUGCAUGACCAGCGUGAUGUAAGCAGCCUCUGGCUUGGCAGACGUGAUGUGAAGAGGACUUGGUGUAGCAGGCAUGAUGAGAGCAAACCCUGACAUGUUGGGAGAAGUUCCUGGAAUAGCGGGCAUGACGUGAGCAAACCCUGGCUUGUGGUGUGCAGGUCCUGGAGUAGCAGGCAUGAUGUGAGCAGACUCUGGCUUGGAAGGCAUGACAUUAGCAGGCUUUGGCUUAGCAGGCAUGAUGUUAGCAAGCAGACGUGGCGUGAGCAGGCCCUUGAGUAGCAGGCGUGACGUGAACAACUCCAGACAUGACUGUUGGGAUGUGAAGAGGCACUGGUGUGGUGGGCACUGUAGGAUUGCAGGUCUCCUUAUCCGCAAAAACCACCGUGUACGCUGAUCCGCACAACAGCUGAGCAUGAUCAAUGUAUUGUUCCAGAGACCAGUUUAUUUUUCCUCCAGGUAGCCGGGAACAAAUUGGUUUGAGCACAACAUCAUUAAAAUCCACAUGGUUAGAAAUUUCACAAAAAUCCUGAACAUAAUCCUCAAUGCAUCGGUUACCUUGAUGUAGUCCAAGGAGGACAACCGCUGGGUUCAUGUUUGCUGGUUGUGUAUUCUGUAACGGAUAGUCUACUGAAGAGGAGCGUAGAUGAACCCAAGUGCAGUUUAUUUACAACGGUGCAUAAUCCAAACUUCCAAUAAUUGAUCACCGUGGAAUUACAUAAUACUUUUACAAACAGCAGACAUGAGCAAUAAUCUUUCUUUUUUAAUAAAUAAUACCUCUUUUUUUUAAUACUGAUUCAUUGAUUCUUUAUUUAACCAGGAUUAAAAAAAUCUCUUAAAAGAGUGACCUGGCCGAAAAAGCAGAAACAAAUAACAGAAAUAUACAAGUUUACAUCAAAAACACAAAUCAAAGAUCACAACAAUGAAUUUACUGAACAGAAAAGCAUGUUGUUCACUUUAUGUGCUGCAGUGCUGCUUUAUGAUUGUCAGAAACACAUGACAUGAAUACUUGCUCACGACGUCACAAAAAGUGAAACCACUGCACCGCCAUAUUGAUUUGCUCUAGUAUUCCCACAUAUUAGGAAAUUGUGCAAUCAGAAAAUAAAUCAGAAAACGUCACUUAACAAGUCAGAAUUUUUACAAAGUCUCACUAUAGAUUCUCAAAUUGCAGAUGUCGCCUGUAAAUGGUUGUUUCAUGUUGGCAAUUGUUCCCGCUUGAAAAAAUGACACUGAGUCAUUAUAGUAGUGAAUAUUUGAAU